rnacentral:rRNA from 1 species
CUACGGGCGGCUGCAGUGAGGAAUGUUGCACAAUGGGGGGAACCCUGAUGCAGCAACGCCGCGUGGAGGAUGACGCAUUUCGGUGUGUAAACUCCUUUUAUAUGUCAAGAAAAUGACGGUAGCAUAUGAAUAAGCACCGGCUAACUCCGUGCCAGCAGCCGCGGUAAUACGGAGGGUGCAAGCGUUACUCGGAAUCACUGGGCGUAAAGGACGCGUAGGCGGGUUGGAAAGUCAGGUGUGAAAUCCUACAGCUUAACUGUAGAACUGCACUUGAAACUUCUAAUCUAGAGUAUGGGAGGGGGAGAUGGAAUUAGUGGUGUAGGGGUAAAAUCCGUAGAUAUCACUAGGAAUACCUAAAGCGAAGGCGAUCUCCUGGAACAUUACUGACGCUAAGGCGUGAAAGCGUGGGGAGCAAACAGGAUUAGAUACCCUCGUGGUC